rnacentral:rRNA from 1 species
UUAAGUUAAUAAGGGCGCACGGUGGAUGCCUUGGCACUAGAAGCCGAUGAAGGACGUGACUAACGACGAAAUGCUUUGGGGAGUUGUAAGUAAACAUUGAUCCAGAGAUGUCCGAAUGGGGGAACCCGGCAUGUGAAGCAUGUCACUCAUUACUGUUAAGGUAAUGAAGAGGAAGACGCAGUGAACUGAAACAUCUAAGUAGCUGCAGGAAGAGAAAGCAAACGCGAUUGCCUUAGUAGCGGCGAGCGAAACGGCAAGAGGGCAAACCGAUGUGUUUACACAUCGGGGUUGUAGGACUGCGUUGUGGGACGCAAGAUUAUAGAAGAAUUACCUGGGAAGGUAAGCCAAAGAGAGUAAUAGCCUCGUAAUCGAAAUAAUCUUAAACCCUAGCAGUAUCCUGAGUACGGCGAGACACGAGAAAUCUCGUCGGAAUCCGGGAGGACCAUCUCCCAACCCUAAAUACUCUCUAGUGACCGAUAGUGAACCAGUACCGUGAGGGAAAGGUGAAAAGCACCCCGGGAGGGGAGUGAAAUAGAACCUGAAACCGUGUGCCUACAACAAGUUCGAGCCCGUUAAUGGGUGAGAGCGUGCCUUUUGUAGAAUGAACCGGCGAGUUACGAUAUGAUGCGAGGUUAAGUUGAAGAGACGGAGCCGUAGGGAAACCGAGUCUUAAUAGGGCGCUUUAGUAUCAUGUCGUAGACCCGAAACCAUGUGACCUACCCAUGAGCAGGGUGAAGGUGAGGUAAAACUCACUGGAGGCCCGAACCAGGGCACGUUGAAAAGUGCUUGGAUGACUUGUGGGUAGCGGAGAAAUUCCAAACGAACUUGGAGAUAGCUGGUUCUCUCCGAAAUAGCUUUAGGGCUAGCGUCGACAUUAGAGAUUCUUGGAGGUAGAGCACUGUUUGGGUGAGGGGUCCAUCCCGGAUUACCAAUCUCAGAUAAACUCCGAAUGCCAAUGAAUUAUGGUCGGCAGUCAGACUGCGAGUGCUAAGAUCCGUAGUCGAAAGGGAAACAGCCCAGACCACCAGCUAAGGUCCCAAAAUAUAUGUUAAGUGGAAAAGGAUGUGGGGUUGCACAGACAACUAGGAUGUUAGCUUAGAAGCAGCUAUUCAUUCAAAGAGUGCGUAAUAGCUCACUAGUCGAGUGACCCUGCGCCGAAAAUGUACCGGGGCUAAACAUAUUACCGAAGCUGUGGAGUACACCUUUAGGUGUAUUGGUAGGAGAGCGUUCUAAGGGCGUUGAAGGUAGAUCGUGAGGACUGCUGGAGCGCUUAGAAGUGAGAAUGCCGGUAUGAGUAGCGAAAGACAGGUGAGAAUCCUGUCCACCGUAAGACUAAGGUUUCCAGGGGAAGGCUCGUCCGCCCUGGGUUAGUCGGGACCUAAGGAGAGACCGAAAGGUGUAUCCGAUGGCCAACAGGUUGAUAUUCCUGUACUAGAGUAUAUAGUGAAGGAGGGACGCAGUAGGCUAACUAAAGCGUGCGAUUGGAAGAGCACGUCUAAGCAGUGAGGUGUGAUAUGAGUCAAAUGCUUGUAUCUCUAACAUUGAGCUGUGAUGGGGAGCGAAGUUAAGUAGCGAAGUUAGUGAUGUCACACUGCCAAGAAAAGCUUCUAGCGUUAAUUAUACUCUACCCGUACCGCAAACCGACACAGGUAGUCGAGGCGAGUAGCCUCAGGUGAGCGAGAGAACUCUCGUUAAGGAACUCGGCAAAAUGGCCCCGUAACUUCGGGAGAAGGGGCGCUGGCUUUAAGUCAGCCGCAGUGAAUAGGCCCAAGCAACUGUUUAUCAAAAACACAGCUCUCUGCUAAAUCGUAAGAUGAUGUAUAGGGGGUGACGCCUGCCCGGUGCUGGAAGGUUAAGAGGAGCGCUUAGCGUAAGCGAAGGUGUGAAUUGAAGCCCCAGUAAACGGCGGCCGUAACUAUAACGGUCCUAAGGUAGCGAAAUUCCUUGUCGGGUAAGUUCC